CAAUAGCGUAUAUUAAAGUUGUUGCAGUUAAAAAGCUCGUAGUUGGAUUUCUGGUAGGAGUGACCGUUCCGAACUUGAUUGUUCGUGUAUUGUGUUUUCUCCAGCCAUCCUUGUGGAGAACUUUUCUUGCAUUAAUUUGUAGGGAUUGGGACCCGCAUCGUUUGCUGUGAAAAAAUUAGAGUGUUUAAAGCAGGCAAUCGCUUGAAUACAUUAGCAUGGAAUAAUAAGAUAGGACUUUGGUACUAUUUUGUUGGUUUGCAUACCAAAUUAAUGAUCAACAGGAACAGUUUGAGGAUAUUCGUAUGAACAUGUCAGAGGUGAAAUUCUUGGAUUUUGAUCAGACGAACUACUGCGAAAGCAUUUAUCAAGGAUGUUUUCAUUAA
rnacentral:rRNA from 1 species